CCCGCACAAGCGGAGGAACAUUGUGGUUUAAUUCGAUGAUACGCGAGGAACCUUACCUGGGCUUAAAUGUAGAGUGCAUUUUUUAGAGAUAGAAAUUCCCUUCGGGGCUUUCUGCAAGGUGCUGCAUGGUUGUCGUCAGCUCGUGCCGUGAGGUGUCGGGUUAAGUCCCAUAACGAGCGCAACCCUUAUCGUUAGUUGCCAGCUGGUAAAGCAGGGGACUCUAGCGAAACUGCCACCGUAAGGUGAGAGGAAGUGGGGAUGACGUCAAAUCAGCACGGCCCUUAUGUCCAGGGCUACACACGUGUUACAAUGGCCGGCACAGAGGGCAGCUACCUGGUGACAGGAUGCUAAUCUCGAAAACCGGUCUCAGUUCGGAUCGAAGUCUGCAACUCGACUUCGUGAAGCUGGAUUCGCUAGUAAUCGCGCGUCAGCCAUGGCGCGGUGAAUACGUUCCCGGGCCUU
rnacentral:rRNA from 1 species